rnacentral:rRNA from 1 species
CACGUAGGCACCAAGCGUUGUCCGGAUUUAUUGGGCGUAAAGAGCUCGUAGGCGGUUCAGUAAGUCGGGUGUGAAAACUUUGGGCUUAACCCAAAGCGUGCAUCCGAUACUGCUGUGACUUGAGUUCGGUAGGGGAGUGGGGAAUUCCUAGUGUAGCGGUGAAAUGCGCAGAUAUUAGGAGGAACACCGGUGGCGAAGGCGCCACUCUGGGCCGAAACUGACGCUGAAGAGCGAAAGCAUGGGUAGCAAACAGGG